GGGACCUCCUAGUUCAUAGGUCAAUGCUCAACCACUGAGUCACACCAGCUGGGCAAUAAUAUAUUUCAAAAGGACUGUGGGCUUCCAGAACCUGAAUGCACAGCUGUUCUGAUAACCAGCCACUCCCCCAACAUGCAGGCUCCGUGGCUCUCCUCCCUAAGGCAGCUGGAGACUGCAGGCCACCGACAGGACACAGACCCUGUUGCCUCAAGGGGCAGCGUGUUGCUGGGACAGGCCUGGCCUUUCUCUACCGCCAGUAGGCACUGACCCUGCCGAAGGGUGCGGAGGGGGGCCCUCUGGAUGGGCAUCUCCCCUUCCACCCCCCUGGCCCAGGGAGGACGGAGGCAGCACUUAGAGCCGGCUUUCAUCUUGCUGUCCCGCAGAACCUGCCCUUCUUAGGAAUCUCUGCCCCAGGAGAGCAAGAAUCUGCCUUCUUAGGAAUCUCUGCCCCAGGAGAGAAAGAAUCUGCCUUCUUAGGAAUCUGCCCCAGGAGAAGAAUCUGCCUUCUUAGGAAUCUGCCCCAGGAGAGAAAGAAUCUGCCUUCUUUUGAAACCAGGGACCCAUCUUGACUCACACUCUCCCAUCAGUUCAGGAGACACCUCCAUCCUAGAGAAGGGAAGGGACUUGUUUAAUGCCACUCAGCACGCAGGUGGAGAAGCCAGGACUGGGGCGCAGGUCUCCCCACCAUGCCAGCGUGCUGGGAACCCUGUCCUGGGAGCGGCCUAGAGGCCUGACGGGGGCCAACCAGAGCAGCCUGGGCUCGGCGAUCCGAGACUGUCAGGGGUCAAGGAGUGGGUGACCGUGGUGGCACCGAAGAAUGCCACUCUUCCUCACUGGGCACUGCCUCUGCCCAGGCACUGUGCCGCCCGUCACAUCACGUGACUGUCUCCCUCGGCCCUCACAUGGGUCCUGCGGAAAAUGAGGGCACGCCCUGCCCACCAGCCACAUCUUACAGAUUAGCAGCUGGAGGGUGACUCGGCGAGGCCAGGGACCAGCCCCGGUUAACAGCACACGUUUGUAAGAGUUGGUCGUGAAGCUUGCAACUGAACCCAAGUUCAACCUCACGGCGCUCACUCCAACCCCUGAGCUCCACAGCCAUGGAGGGUCCGUCCAUCAUGCCAGAUGGGACAUCUGACCCGGGGCGGGAGGGCAGUGGCCCGUGGCAGGACCAGAGCCCGGGUCUCUGCUCCGAAGCUCACACUGGCUCCAUUUCCCAGAGCUGUGGUUUAAGCCGGUUCUGACCCCUGUCCCACCUACACAGCCAAGAAGGUGAGCGCCCCCAUGUGCGUGGCCAGGGACAUGGGUCAAACUGGCUGAGGGAUUCGGGAAACCCCAGCCAGUCUUCCAUCUGAACAGACGGGCCAGGCCAGAGGCUUCUGUCUCCGACAGGAUUUCGGUGUUGGUGUCAUCAGGUCCUCCUCUGGGCUGGGGAGCAGGGACACGUGAGAAAUCAAAUGAGAUGAGUAUCUUCCUCCUUCUGACAACCCCAAACAUCAGUACGAUGACAUCGCAGUCAGCCUGGGGCCUUUCAUGCUCGCUCCCCUCCUCCCAGGUGGCAACUUCAGGGGUGUCGCUGUAACGACUUGACAGGCAGGAGUCUGAUGCGUCGGCAGCCGCACUGCCUCGUCUCCUCCAGGCAGGCGGCAAUCAGAGAGGAAGACGUACAAAUUGCCGGUUCUAAAAGCAGCCGUGGGGCUGGAAGGACAGCUCAGGGAACAGGCAAUAAUGUCGCAAUAACUAUGGAAGGUGUCGGACGGGUACUAGACUCAUCAGGGGGAUCGCUUUUUAAUGCAUACGGAUGUCUAAUCGCUAUGUUGUACACCUGAAGCAAAUAUCAUAUUGUAUGUUAACUAUAAUUGAAAAAUAAAUUUUAAAAAAUGUUAAA